rnacentral:rRNA from 1 species
UACGGAGGGUGCAAGCGUUAUCCGGAUUCACUGGGUUUAAAGGGUGCGUAGGUGGCUUUGUAAGUCAGUGGUGAAAGCCCGGAGCUUAACUCCGGAACUGCCAUUGAUACUGCUUAGCUUGAAUCAGGUCGAGGUGGAUGGAAUAUUACAUGUAGCGGUGAAAUGCUUAGAUAUGUAAUAGAACACCGAUUGCGAAGGCAGUUCACUAGGCCUGUAUUGACACUGAGGCACGAAAGCGUGGGGAUCAAACAGG